UUAUAUAGCAAAAAUGUUUAAUCUCUCCUUGAUGCGCGUGUUUAUUUACAAGUACUAAAUCUGAAGAACAUUAAAAUAGGAAAUAGCAAGAUAUUUACACAAUCAAAGGGUGCCGACCUGCCACACUGGCACAGUUGCUUCAAGUCUGAAACAAUCACAUAAAGUUUUCAUCAUUUUUAUUUUUUUAUUUUACUAUUAAAAUUCUUUGUUUCUUAUUGUUUUCUCUGCUCCACCCCUCCCAUGCCAACCCCCUUCCCCUUUACUUAAAGGACAGCUAACUGUGGACUUGACAUUGCUUUGAAAGAAGAGAGAGCGGCAGGCCUUACAAGGCUUUUACGUGUUUUAAACACAUUUUCGGGGGGGGGGGUUAAUAGUGCUCCAUUUUAAAAAGCUGCAAUGGGGGCGGGGCGGGGGAAGGUCUUGCUCACCAUCCUGACGAAUGCACCAGCCCUUUCUUUAGACGAUCCCUAAACUGUUAAGAGUCCAAGGAACUGGGGAUGUCACUAACAUAGAGUUUAAGAAAUAAAGAAAACACCAGACACUUCCUUAUUAGCUGGCUCAAACCAUUUUUCUCCGAAGAGCUGUGUAUUUUUGGAACCAGAUUAUUUGACAUUUCCAUUGAGAUACCCUCUAAAACUGAGCCUUCAAUAGCUGAUGUGUUCCUUCAGUCCCUAUUCCUAGCGUAUCCUGUCCUUAGAUAGCACCAGUGUUUGAGGGCACAGGGUGGCGGUGGUAGGGGGCUGAGGAAGCAGGGGUUGUAUGAUUAAGCAUUUUUAACAAUGGAUAGAGGAAAGUGAAAGUAGCACCUGAAAAAGAGAAGGUACGUUUCACAUGCACCUUUUCUCAGGGAAUACUUAAAAAGUAUUCUUGUGGGGAAGCUGGUAACAUGUGGGUUGGAGGAGGUAGCUGUUAGGUGGAUUUGUAGCUGGUUGACUGACUCAACUCAGAGUGCUUACUAAUAGUUCCUAAUCAACCUGGAAAAGACUGACGUGAGGUGCCACAGAGUUCUUUAUAAAUUACUUAGAUGAAAGAAUUUAGGGCAGGGGUCAGCAAGCUUUUCCAGCAGGGAGCUGGUCCACUGUCCCUCAGACCUUGUGGGGGGCCAGACUAAAUUUUUUUUGGGGGGGGGGAAUGAUACAAGAGCAUCAUGAGCCCCUGUGGUUGCUUACCUAUGUCUUGUGAAUAGCAGGGGCUGGCGGCGGUGGAGGGACGAUGAGCAGUGCGCAAAAGAGCUCUGGAGAGGGGCUGCUUAAAACGGCGGCCACUUGAGCACCGCUGCUGCUGGCACCAACAAAGCUCAGCUUCCUCUAUGCAGGGCGGGAGAAGCCAGGAGGAGGGAGGGAGGAGGUGCCGCCGCCGCUGCCAUGUGAGGGAAAGGGAUGGAAAUAACAUGUGCGCUGGCAAUAUAUGCGGCGAUUCCCGGACCGUCCGCAGGCCGGACCCAGAAGGCAAUUGGGCCUGAUCCAGCCCGUGGACCUAAGUUUGCCUACCCAUGAUUUAGGGGAUACUCAUCAAAUUUGCACAUGACACAAAACUGGGACAAGUAGCUAAUGCCGCAGAAGACAGAAUCCGGAUUCAAAAUGACUUUAACAGAUUAGAAAACCAGGCCCAAACUAACAACAUAUAAGGUUCUACACUUAGGUAGGAAGAACCAGCUGCACAAACAUAAGAUGAGGAACACCUGGCUUGCCAGUAGUACAUGUGAAAAGGAUCUAGGGGUCUUAGUAGAGGACAAGUUUAACAUGCUUCCAACUCUACAAUUCCAUGAUUCUGUGAUUCUAUGAGUAAACAAUGUGAUGCAGCAGCAAAAAAAGCUAAUGCUAGUCUAGGCUGCAUCAACAAAAGUGUUGUGUUCAGAUCAAGGGAGGUAAUAGUACCGCUUUGUUCUGCCUUGGUCAGACCACACCUGGAGUACUGUGUCGAGUUCUGGGCACCACAGUUUAAGGAAUCUGACAAGCUGGAAUGUGUGCAGAGGAGGGUGACCAAGAUGAUCAAGGGUCUGGAAGCUAAGUCUUAGAUGAAUAGUUGAGGGAGCUAUGCAUGUUUAGCCUAGAGAAGAGGAGAUUGAGAGGAAAUAUGAUAGCCAUCCUCAAAUAUCUAAAUGGCUGUCACAUGGAAGAUGGAGUAAGCUUGUUUCCUCCUGUUCUGGAGAGUAGGACAAGAAAGGAGAUUCCAACAAAACAUAACAGAAAAACUUUCUGACGGUAAGAGCUGUUUGACAGUGGAUCUGACUCCCUUGGAAGGUGGUGGACUCUCCUUCAUUGGAGGUUUUUAAGCAGAGGUUCAGUGGCCAUCUGUCAUGGAUGCUUUAGUUGAGAUUCCUGCAUUGUGGAGGUUGAACUAGAACUAGAUGAUCCAACUCCACGUUUCUAUGAGUCAUGGAGGCCUUAUUUAGAAGUAACCAAUACAUUGAAUAGUGGCAUUGUGGGGAAGGGAUCUCACAUAAUGUUCGUGGGAAUGGAUUGGUGAUGCUUGGAUGAAAACCAGAGAAAAUUAUGAAGCUAUAAAGGUGGCAAACCUUUUUUUUUUUAAAGAAAAAAAUAAGUCACCUGCUCCUGACUGCAAUUGCUCUUAGAAAUCCUUUGCCACACGAAUGUCACUACGGCAAAGCAGAAAAUGUCAACCUAUUCAGCUGGCCCUAUGCCAAUACAGCUAUAACAAAAAUAUAUCCGGUUGAGAGAUUGUUCCAAAUCAGCCAGGCCUCUUCCCUGUAACCGCCUUACCGCUUUAUAUCCCUGCCCUUUGUUUUUGAAGAAUUUCUUUUUCUGCUGCAAUUCAUGCCAGAUCAAUAAUUAGUGAACAUAAUAUAAGUUAUGCUCCCCUCUCCCAAAGUGUUAAUGGCUUAUAGGUUUUGCUUUUCAGGUGAUCGUCUGAGCAUCAAAAUGCAUAGCAAAAGAGUUUAGUACCAAUGGCAUGAUUGCACAUCAUAUUCAAAGUCCUGCAGAAGUCGGAAACGUCAGGAGAUUUGACAUUGCCACUGAAGUCCCCAGAUGUGUCUUUGCAUGGAUAGAUGUGGAUGUGUACAACCCAAUGAAGAGUAACAUAUGGGUUUGCUUCCAUGCUACAACCCUUUAGCACUGCUCAGGCACUGUAUUUAGCUGGAAGCUGAACUAAAACAAGAGGUUAGUGUUAACGUUAUCUGUCAAUGUCUUUCUGUGCACCUCCCCCCCAUCCUCCCUUAAUGUUUGCUCCUAUGUAAAGCCUAUUUAGCAAAGGGUCACAGCAACAUUAAUUAAGAGUUUUAUCUUUGCCUGCUUUAUUGCUUCUGGAUGAGUUCAGAUAGGAAAAUUAGUGAUUAAUGGUUUAUUAACUGCCCCAAUUUCAAUUGUGUAUGUGAUUCUAUUGGUGAUUUCCACUAUGGGAAGGAAAAUGAUGAGAGGAAGUCACUAUUAUCCCCCCCCCAUAAAUAAAUAAAUAGAUAGAUAGAUAAGAGGCAAUUAAGCAAUUAUUCAUCACUAACACUCCAGCUAUGAUCAAGAGAAAGAUAUAAAAUGGGCAAGAUCUGCAAACAAGAUAAAACUUAAAUUAAGGGCACAGGAACUCCCAACAACAUUUUGCCCAGCCCUGCAGUACAGGCUGGUGAUCCAAUUGCAUUUCAUUACCCAAAUUUAUGCCGUGAAUCAGUAUUGAGGGGGGGGGACGGAUGGACAGGGCAAGACAGGAAAGACUGGAAUGCAGUCAGUGAUUUAAGAACGAUGCUGUCUGAAUGUUCCAUAACGAGCAAAUGAACAAAGGAAGGAGAUUCCAGAGAAAGUGGCUAAUAUGGAAGCAGCUAAGAUUAAAAACUGCCCAAGAAAGAAAGAAAAAAGAUCCUCUAGGUGUGAGCCAGAUUGUAAAUCUUUUUAACACAGUGGACGAGUGUCUGCUGACAAAAAAAUAAAAAAUUCCUGUUGAUUUCAGUGGAAUUGCAGGUACUUGGGUGAGAAAGAAGAUGAAAAUUUGGACUCGCUGCUUGUCUGCUAUCUGCUUUGUCUCUGCUCACCGCCUUGGGGAGAAGCCACUGAGUUUCUCUUCUGCCCCAGGCCCUGUCUGGAAAGUCACUGGCUUGGUUUCUGUGGCAGAAUUGUGACUGGCGAAGGCAGUGCCAGAGGCAAAGGAAGCCCAACUCUGCGUGGUGUGCUCACCAUGAAGUUGUUAAAGUAAGUGCCACACUUUUAAGAAGUGCUUUACUUUUAGUGGGGGGGGGGGAAGGUGCCAGUAUACCCUUGAAUACCCCCAGGAAAAAAAGCACUGAGCCUUGCCAUCUUGCUGCUUGCCUGUGUGCCCCUUAUGCUGCUGCUGCUGAGAUUCCACUUCUGUACAAAAGAUUAAAUACGAACUGUCCAGAAAGCUUGCAGCCUGACAGACUGAAUCACAAACUGUAUCAACCUGAAGUAUUUGCACGGGAGCUGAUUUAGCUGUUGCUUUCCAGUUAUUUCAGCUGGUGGUCUGUCCACUGUGCAGAGAGUCUGGACACAGGGAAAGUAUUCCUCCACUCCACAAACAUCCCUAGUGGCAAGUUAAAUAGCUACGAUUCUGCUAAGCGUUAGGCUAAGAACUCUUCCCCCCACCCCCCUGCUGCCAUGGCCCACAUGGAGAUGACUUGGUUCACUGAAGGCUAGGAACUGGGAAGAUAGGAUGCAAUUAGCUAGGUCUUUCUAAAGGCCAGUUCUGAAGACUGAACAAACCAACUUGCAUUCUGCAGGCCCUUCAAAUUAAGCCAACUUCUAAUGCACUUUGUUGAGUUUUUAUCGGAAAAGAUAAAAGUUGUUCACUUGAGGUAACCCACUGAAUACUAUUUUUAUAGUGAAGUCUCCCAAUAUGUUAUUGCUGAGAUACCUGGAUAAGAUAAGUGAGUGGCUCUAGAGGAAUGGUAUAUGGCAUUUUCCAGUCAAACGUUUGCUCUCUAUGCAAUCAACAGAGGGGGAUUUUGUCAUUUGCUUCUAAAAAGUCAGGAUGGCACUUUAGUUUUCCAUAAAAUGGUGCUGACUUACAUCAAGCCGAAAGAUCGAGCCUCUAUCUCUUUUAAGUGUCAAUCAUGUAAUGAUUUAUGCUUCCAAGUACACUUGAAACCAAGUCCAAGGAGGGGAACCUGUAAAAUAUUACAGUAUCUUUUGUGUGUAGAAACACUUAGCUGUCCUUUAAGGCUUCUGAGUACCAUUUUUUCCAGAAAUAAACAGUUAAUUCUUUUUUUUUUUUUCUUAUACAAGAAGUGGCA